GUCAACACAACGUGCAUACAAGGUUGGUGUUUCAUUUGCGUUUUACUUUGUUUUCUCAGAAAAUUCAUGUUUCUAGGAUGUCGUAUUGGAUCAAAUGGAGAUUUUAAUAGGAAAUUUGCAUAACUGUUUGUUAUCUUCAAUCCCUAAAUAUUUGUGCAGGGGAAUGUAACCAUAAUGCCUAUAAACCAAAUGUCUGUUUACUAAUAGAAGUAAAAAAGAGGAGCUCUGAGCAAACUGGGGGACUUGUGCAUGUGCUUAUCAUUCUUUAUAAACAUGUAGCUGCAAAAAUAAGGGUUUGUUCAUGUUCCAUUUGUUUUAUAAAUGGAUUCUUUGUGUCUAAGAUAGGUGUUAAGCAUAUUUCAAUUCUUCGUGAGGAAUGGGUGUUAGAUUUCUGGAAAUGGACAGACUGUAGCGUGAUUAGGAUCAUUGAAAGAUUGUUCUACCAUAAACUGCUAUAUGAGUGUCUAUAGUAGUCUCAAGUUCUUUCUUCAUGUCAAGAUGUGUUUCUGUUCGCUAUUGUACUUUUAUUUUAGUUUUAUUCAUUCUUCGCGAAAUCUGUGAUAACAUGGACAUCCUGUUGUGUGUGUGGUG
rnacentral:misc_RNA from 1 species